rnacentral:rRNA from 1 species
GGGGGGGCAAGCGUUUGUUCGGAAUUACUGGGCGUAAAGGGCGCGUAGGCGGUCCCGCAAGUCCUCCGUGAAAUCCCACAGCUCAACUGUGGAACUGCGAGGGAAACUGCAGGACUUGAGUCCGGGAGAGGAGAGUGGAAUUCCCAGUGUAGCGGUGAAAUGCGUAGAUAUUGGGAGGAACACCGGUGGCGAAGGCGGCUCUCUGGACCGGUACUGACGCUGAGGCGCGAAAGCUAGGGGAGCAAACGGGAUUAGAUACCCCGGGUAGUCCUAGCCUUAAACGAUGAGCACUUGGUGUGGCGGGUAUCGACCCCCUGCCGUGCCGAAGCUAACGCAUUAAGUGCUCCGCCUGGGGAGUACGGUCGCAAGGCUG